ensembl:lncRNA
CACAAUAAAGACAGGAAACCAUUCGUGCACGUCCUAGACGUGAGCUCCGUGCAAAACAAAAAAAUAAAUAACGGGGAGGUGGGAGGGGCGGAGAGAGUGACCCGAAAUUAACGAGCCAGGCGCCCCGCGAACAUCUUUCCCGCCCCCAAAACCAAGCCUCUGGAACUCAAACCACCUGGAAAUGGUCCUUCUGGAAUAGUGGAUGGGAUCCAGGGAGCUCCAUUCAUCUGUUCAACAAAUGCUGCUCUAACAAAAUGCCACAGACUGCUGCUGCUGCUGCUAAGUCACUUCAGUCGUGUCGGACUCUGUGAGAUCCCAUUGAUGGCCUCCCACCAGGCUCCCCUGUCCCUGGGAUUCUCCACGCAAGAACACUGGAGUGGGUUGCCAUUUCCUUCUCCAAUGCAUGAAAGUGAAAAGUGAAACUGAAGUCGCUCAGUCGUGUCUGACUCUUCGAGACCCCAUGGACUGCAGUCCACCAGGCUCCUCCAUCCAUGGGAUUUUCCAGGCAAGAAUACUGGAGUGGGGUGCCAUUGCCUUCUCCGCCUUUUGACCUAGCCACCUCCCAAAGGCCCCCACUUCCUAAUACUAUCACCGAAAGGGGUAGGAUUUCAACAUAUGAAUUUGGGGACACAAACG